AAGGCGAGGGGGCGCCCGAGUGGCGCCAGCCAGGGCGAGGUGAUGACGGGUCGGCGGGGGUGGCCGGAGGAGCUGAGGAAGUGGAGAUAGUCCAAUACAUGAUGGAUGGGAACCCAGGAGGGGGAAACCACCUUUCUGUUGGGACCUGAUUGAUCUUUUCUAUUUGGCCAGGUCCACUUAGGAGUCUCCCACAGCUAGAAAAUGGAUCUGGCUAGAUUUGGCUGAAAGGACCACCCUGCGGAUCUUGCAUAGACCAAAGACCUUGUGGCUGCUGAAACCCCAAGUGAGCUACCCAACCUAUAACAUCUAUUCUAUAACUAAGAUGAGUACCAGUUGUGGAGCAUCAAAAGGGUAUCCCAUCCAAACUUUCAAGGGGUCUGUCUACCAGUGCAAGGAGGACAAGAUCUGCAUUGGCACUGAACCACCAUGUUUAGAUGAUGAUAGACUGGUGAAUACACCAAACCUAAAUGUACUUGUAGCUUUCUGAAGUGCAGUCUGGCAUGUUGCACCACGUAACUGCAUGCUGCUAUGUGCCCUAGAAGCUUGAGGCAGCCUCAUACUGUGGUGACAGGAUGUGCCUUAAGUCUAAAGCAAAGGCCUUCAUCAUUUGGUAUCUCAGCUGCAGAAGGAAGACCUUGGCCUUCGUAGAGACCAGGACUGCACCAAUAUAUUCUAUUCUCUGUUCAGACAUCAGGAUCGAUUUCUCCAUGUUGAUUAAUUGCCCUAGCACAUUGAAAGUGGACUGGAUAAGGAUCAUACUGGACAGCACCUGAGAUCUGGACUAGCAUCUCACCAACCAGUCAGCUAAGUAAGGGAACACGUGAACUCCUGACCUUCACAGGAAUGCUGCUACCACAACUGUGCAUUUUGUGAAUACAGGAGGAGCUGCUGAUAUGCGAAAGGGUAGCACUGAAUUGGUAGCGGGAUCAGUUUGCCACAAACCUGAGGAAUUUUCAGUGGCUCUGAUGAAUUGCCGUGUGACAAUAGGUGUCUUUUAAGUCUAGGGCAGCAUACUAAUCUGCUGGGUCCAGGGAAGGAAUAAUGGCAGCUGGAGGUACCAUCUGGAAUUUUAUUUUUUUCAGGAAUUUGUUGAGCAGCCUUAGAUCUAAAUUAGGUCUCUGAGACCCCCUUUUGCUUUCAUGAUUAGGAAAUAGUGGGAAUAAAACACCUUUCCUCUGACUAAUAGGAGAACUUCCUCUAUGGCCCCCAUGUGAAGGAGAGAUUGCACCUUGUGCAGUAGAAUGACCUUAUGAGAGUAGUUCCUGAAGAGGGAUGGGGAAAAUGGGGGAGAAGGACCAGAAACAAACUGAAGGAUGUCUCCCAUUUCCACUGUGUUUAAGACUCACUGAUCUGUGAUGAUGCGGGACCAAGCACUUAGGAAUGGGAUAGAGCAGUGUUUCCCAAACUUGGGAUAUCCCUUGGCCCGCACCACUUCCCGCAGCCCCCAUUGGCCGGGCACAGCGAACUGCGGCCAGUGGGAGCCGUGAUCGGCCGAACCUGCGGACGCGGCAGGUAAACAAACCAGCCCGGCCCGCCCGGGGCUUUCCCUGAACAAGCAGCGACCCAAGUUUGGGAAACACUGGGAUAGAUAAUUAGCAAAUAGAGAGAUAGGAGAGUGUGGCACUCUGGGAACUGAUAGUCUAUCCUUUACCAACGUGCCAGAAUGCUUCUUUGGAAGACCCAGCUUGUGCAGAUGAACUGGCAGCUGCAGAAGAGAACGGAGGUGGCAGACUUCUCUUGUAACUUCUGCCAUUCUUUCUGGGCAGGUCCUGGGUAUGAGGAAUAAAAACUGGAUACUGGUGGGUGUCCGACUCUGCGAAGUGGAUGGUCAGGCUUAGUGGUUGAAGCAGCGGCAGUCAUGCCUAGUAGUUGGGGACUGGAGCCAGGGGUCAGAGCAGGAAUCAAGAGUGGGGUUAGAACAGGGAUCUCAAACUCAAAUCACCAUGAGGGUCACAUGAGGACUAGUACAUUGGCCCGAGGGCCGCAUCACAAACCUUUUCAUACAACGAUACAAAAGUAUACUCAAAAAUGAAAAAAAAUUAAGAGUAAUAUAGUAUGCUAUUAAAAACAAUGUAUUAACUUUUUUAAAACUGUAAUGCAAAAAGUCAGUGCUAAUUUUGACAGUCAUUUCAUUUUUGGCCACUUAGCUGGCAGCAUUUUGCAUCAACCAGAGCAUCAAUAUUAGGUUGAUAUCCUGAGACGAAUAUCAGUGUUGCUUGCAAAUUGUACCACAUUCCAUACAAAAAACUACACUAAGAGAAUGUUUACACUGCACAGUUAAGCACACGUACUUUUUCUCUGCCCCUUUGAGACUAUGUGUUACCAUGUAAUCUUUUAAUUACAGGGUCACGUACGGUUUCUUGUAAAAUAUAUACCUUUUUUCUACACCCUU